UUUUUGUUGUUUUAUUCCUAGCUGAUGAAUCAAUCUCUCGUGGAGAUUUAGAGUCAAACUGGAAAUCUUGGAUGAAAACCGACUUCAUCCACCAACAAUUGAAAGAAAAUGACAAUCUUGAAGACAGUUUGCUUUACAGAAUGGCAAAAGCAAGAAAUCCAAUGAUUCGGUACGCUGUUAGAACUGAAUUAUCAGAGAUGGAUGAAAAACAAGGCAUCGAACUGGCACAACUUGUCAACCAGCAGAAAUGCCAAGAAGGAGUGGAAACAUUCACAGGGUUUUACUGUGUUCAUACCAACAUGUAGUUCAUGCAACAGGCAUAACAGACUUUUCACUGCGUGAAAGUUUUCGUUCCACAAACUUUUGCGGCCAAGAGAUGGUUGAGUUAUGCUAUUCUCAAUAGUCGCCUGGGAGUUUUUUAAAAAUAAUAAUAAUACAUUUGUGGGUAAUUUGGGCAUAGUUAGGGUUGUACCGGACAAGCGGUUUACUGAUACAUGUAGUUAUUGUAGUUGUACAUAUAUCCGUAAAAAGUCCAUGUGCAUUGAUAUCUUACAACCUAAUAUUUUUAAAUAACUUGCAAGGCAACUGUAAGUCAAACUUGUUACUCAAAUCCUCUUAUGUCAAUUAUUGGAGACAAUGGUCUUCAGUGCGGAAGUCUGUAAGGACCCACUAUAUAUACCCUUCCUAUUUCAAAAGGUGCCAAACAAAAUGAUCUGGAAUGGUGCGAUCAUUUUUUUAUAUGAAGCUAUCACAAUUCUGAAAAUUUUUGGAAAUAUGGGGUAUAGUAAAAGGACCAACUUUGAAGAUAAAAAUUGUCUAAAACACUUUUUAUAUGCCUACGCCACGAUAAAUAAUGACUUGCAGUUCUCGGUUUCCAUUCUUGGUUUCUCAGCCUUGUGAGGUCUUACUUUGUGUGCCUUGUUAUAUUAGUAAUUAUUACUUUAUAGAUGUGUGUAUCUUGUUUUCUGUUUAUAAUUAUGAUUUAUAUAAGCUCAUGAACUUACCUAACUCAACAGUAAACACCUCAAAAUGCCUAGACACCAUUUUUUUCUAUGUUACUUUGAUACCUCUGAUGUAACAGUAAUCAAUAAUUUCACCAUUUCAUUGAAACCUCACAAAUGUUUCUGACCACCUUAUAGAAUAAUUCGAAUCUAGUAAGAGUUUUUCUACCAUUUUGUCUACUACCUCGCUCCAUAUGCUAAGUAUAUCUCUAUACUAUGUUUGCUUGAUACUUGCUAAUAUGUUUGCUGUAUAUUUAAGGUCUCAAAAAUGUCAUACUUCACACUUUUUCUCUACUUUCCCGUUAUGAUGGAUAUAUAUUGUGGAUUGAAUUUGGAAUUUGCGGAGGGGCUACUAGAGCAGGGGCGUGCAACAAAACAGCCUGCGGGCCCCAACCAUGGUGGCCCUUGUUAACAAUCGAGAUUUCUUCUUAUCAAGCAUAAAAUCUAAUUCGAAAGUUUGUUUAAAAUACGUACAUGUUUUUUACUCAUAUCGCUUCAUUUAAUCGCUUGCCUUCAUUGCUGUAACACUGAGCGAUAGCAGUAUUUCGUAUUUUUGUGUGGCCCAGCUCGAUGUCUGAAGUUGGUUAUAUGGCCCGCCGAAAAAAUGUUGCAAACCCCUGGUUUAGAGUAUUCAUAUGGAGUUCAUAAUAUUGGGAUAAAGUCUAAAAUUUGACUUUCUUGAGACACCAAGUUAUAAUUAUGCCCAGGCGUUCUGUUGCAUAUCAGCAUCCGUUACAAACUGAACGUAAUCACCUCAAUUUAUCUUCGUUUUUGCUAAUCAUGAAUAAAUAAAUACUUGUGCCACAGUA